rnacentral:rRNA from 1 species
GAUGAACGCUGGCGGCGUGCCUAAUACAUGCAAGUCGAGCGAACAGACGAGGAUUUUGCUCCUCUUACGUUAGCGGCGGACGGGUGAGUAACACGUGGAUAACCUACCUAUAAGACUGGGAUAACGUCGGGAAACCGGAGCUAAGACCGGAUAAUAUAUUGAACCGCAUGGUUCAUUAGUGAAAGACGGUUUUGCUGUCACUUAUAGAUGGAUCCGCGCCGCAUUAGGUAGUUGGUAAGGUAACGGCUUACCAAGGCAACGAUGCGUAGACGAGCUGAGAGGGUGAUCGCCGACACGGGAACUGAGACACGGUCCAGACUCCUACGGGAGGGAGCAGUGGGGAAUCUUCCGCAAUGGGCGAAAGCCUGACGGAGCAACGCCGCGUGAGUGAUGAAGGUCUUCGGAUCGUAAAACUCUGUUAUUAGGGAAGAACAAAUGUGUAAGUAGCUAUGCACGUCUUGACGGUACCUAAACAGAAAGCCACGGCUAACUACGUG